rnacentral:rRNA from 1 species
UACGUAGGGUGCAAGCGUUGUCCGGAAUUAUUGGGCGUAAAGAGCUCGUAGGCGGUCUGUCGCGUCGGAUGUGAAAAUCCAGGGCUCAACCCUGGACCUGCAUUCGAUACGGGCAGACUAGAGUUCGGUAGGGGAGACUGGAAUUCCUGGUGUAGCGGUGAAAUGCGCAGAUAUCAGGAAGAACACCAAUGGCGAAAGCAGCUCUCUGGGACGGUACUGACGCUGAGACGCGAAAGCGUGGGGAGCGAACAGG